rnacentral:rRNA from 1 species
AUGGGCCAAGCUGGCUGCCAUACGACUGCUUUGAAAUAUACGAUGGUCAACACCCGAAACAACCCUGCUGCCCCGGAGCAGGCUGAAGGCAGUGUGGCUAGGAAUGCGAAUCUGCCUCAUCCUCCUUCCUUGGCUGAGGUCAUGCUGGAGGCCAAGAGGAACAAACGUGAGACCAACCGUUUGCUAGAACGCAUUGAGCAGAACACAACACAACACCAGAGGAACGACUUGGUGUCUCUCGGUGACUUCAUCAAGUUGCACCCACCCACUUUUCAUCAUUUCGACAAGCCCCUCGAUGCGGAUGAUUGGCUCCGCAGCAUCACCCAUAAGCUACAUUCUGCACAUGUAGCCGAAGCUGACAAGGUCAUUUUCGCUGCUUAUCAUCUUGAAGGCCCCACCAGCCUUCGGUGGGAGAACUAUGAGGCCAUGCGCCCAACUGGCCAGGUUACCACUUGGGCAGAGUUCAGCGAGGCUUUCCGUGAGCAUCAUAUUCCGGAAGGUCUUAUGGAUCGCAAGUGGGAGGAGUUCAGCAACUUCACCCAGGGUAGACUCACCAUGGAUGCAUACAACAGAGAGUUUGGAAACCUGGCAUGUUAUGCAACUGAAUAA